rnacentral:rRNA from 1 species
GGACUACACGGGUAUCUAAUCCCGUUUGCUCCCCUGGCUUUCGCACCUCAGCGUCGGUAACCAACCAGUGCAUCGCUUUCGCCGCCGACGUUCCUUCCGAUAUCAACGCAUUUCACCGCUCCACCGGAAAUUCCAUGCACCCCUUUGGUCCCCAAGCUACGCAGUAUCGGACGCAGUUCCUCGGUUAGGCCGAGGGAUUUCACAUCCGACUUACAUUGCCGCCUACGUGCGCUUUAUGCCCAGUGAUUCCGAACAACGCUCGCCACCUUCGUCUUACCGCGGCUGCUGGCAC